AAGGUAAUAGUCAUGUGUAUCUGAUAUCUCUUUCCCAAUUAUCAAGACUUAAAGAAAAAACCCUCUCAUCACCUUCGCGACCAAACCCCAGCAACCUUCACGAAGAACAACCCAAAACGCAGCAACCUUAACCCCUCACCUUCGCAAGAACCAGCGCAGUCCUCUCUCUCAACUCACCACCAGCGCCGUCCUCUCUCUCACUCGCAGUCGUCCUCUCUCUCACGAACCCUAACUCCAAAUCGAAGCUUAACUCCAAAUCGAAGCUUCUCUUUCUUUCUCCGGCCUCUACUCUCACGAAUCGAAGCUUGUUUUUCUCUCACCCACAACUGAAAACGCAGGUACUGAUUCGAAGCUCUCUCUCGUCCCUAAUUGCAGAAUGAAGCUCUCUCUCGUUCCUCUCCCUCCGAUUGAAAACCAAGAGUAUUUGAAAAUGGGUCUGUCACUCACGAAGCUGUUUAGCCGGCUUUUCGCGAAGAAGGAGAUGGGUAUACUUAUGGUCGGUCUCGAUGCCCCUGGUAAGACCACCAUUCUGUAUGAGCUUAAGCUUGGAGAAAUCCUCACCAUUCCCACCAUUGGGUACUGAUGCUGUCAAAUUGCUGUUUUUGGACUGCGGGUUUUACGUGCUCAAGCUACGCGAACGGAUCAUUAAGAGCAUACUGAACAGCUCGGAAAUGUUGGAAUCGGAGGUAAUAGGUUGAGCAGAAUAAAUGGAUUUCCAAGAGGAUUGUAGUAAAGACGCUGUUUAUGGAAACUUCGUAGCAUUGAUCACCUGUUAAUUAUUAUAGAAGAUGGCUCAAGGCUUGAUCAUGGUUGUUAUGUAUUCCAUUUCGCUCUGAUGUAUAAUAUAUUAUAGGUUGUACAUUAUGACAGUUUAUUCAGGAUUUUGUCAAGAUUAUGUAUUGCCCGGCAAAUUAUCUUGUAAUUGUACUAUGUCGUACAAAAGUUAUUCUGUAAUUUUAAUGUUUCCCGAUUCAGUUAUGUAUGCUCCUAUUGAUAUUCUAGAUAAAUCAAUAUGGGGUGUUAUAUAGGAUGUUUUGAAUUGUAA